GUGCCCACUUCAACAGCACAUAUACUAAAAGUGAAACAAUACAGAGAACAUUAGCACGGCCCUUGUGCAACAAUGACAUGCAAAUUUGUGAAGCAUUACCAUAUUUU